rnacentral:rRNA from 1 species
AGCGAACGCUGGCGGCAGGCCUAACACAUGCAAGUCGAGCGCCGUAGCAAUACGGAGCGGCAGACGGGAGAGUAACACGUGGGAACGUACCCUUUGGUUCGGAACAACCCAGGGAAACUUGGGCUAAUACCGGAUAAGCCCUCACGGGGAAAGAUCUAUCGCCGAAGGAUCGGCCCGCGUCUGAUUAGCUAGUUGGUGAGGUAAUGGCUCACCAAGGCGACGAUCAGUAGCUGGUCUGAGAGGAUGAUCAGCCUCACUGGGACUGAGACACGGCCCAGACUCCUACGGGAGGCAGCAGUGGGGAAUAUUGGACAAUGGGCGCAAGCCUGAUCCAGCCAUGCCGCGUGGGUGAUGAAGGCCCUAGGGUUGUAAAGCCCUUUCGGCGGGGAAGAUAAUGACGGUACCCGCAGAAGAAGCCCCGGCUAACUUCGUGCCAGCAGCCGCAGUAAGAC